rnacentral:tRNA from 4 species
GCUCUCGUAGUUUAAUGGAUAGAACACGGCCCUCCGAAGGCUGUGAUAUGGGUUCGACUCCCGUCGAGAGCG